rnacentral:rRNA from 1 species
UACAGAGGUCUCAAGCGUUUGUUCGGAUUCAUUGGGCGUAAAGGGUGUGUAGGUGGCGCCGUAAGUCGGGGUGUGAAAUUUCGGAGCUUAACUCCGAAACUGCAUUCGAUACUGCGGUGCUUGAGGACUGGAGAGGAGACUGGAAUUUACGGUGUAGCGGUGAAAUGCGUAGAUAUCGUAAGGAAGACCAGUGGCGAAGGCGGGUCUCUGGACAGUUCCUGACACUGAGACACGAAGGCCAGGGGAGCAAACGGG